UACAGAGGGGGCGAGCGUUGUUCGGAAUCACUGGGCGUAAAGCGCACGUAGGCGGCUUUUUAAGUCAGGGGUGAAAUCCUGGAGCUCAACUCCAGAACUGCCUUUGAUACUGGGAAGCUUGAGUCCGGGAGAGGUGAGUGGAACUCCGAGUGUAGAGGUGAAAUUCGUAGAUAUUCGGAAGAACACCAGUGGCGAAGGCGGCUCACUGGCCCGGUACUGACGCUGAGGUGCGAAAGCGUGGGGAGCAAACAGG
rnacentral:rRNA from 1 species